GACGAACGCUGGCGGCGUGCCUAAUACAUGCAAGUAGAACGCUGAAGAGAGGAGCUUGCUCUUCUUGGAUGAGUUGCGAACGGGUGAGUAACGCGUAGGUAACCUGCCUUGUAGCGGGGGAUAACUAUUGGAAACGAUAGCUAAUACCGCAUAACAAUGGAUGACACAUGUCAUUUAUUUGAAAGGGGCAAUUGCUCCACUACAAGAUGGACCUGCGUUGUAUUAGCUAGUAGGUGAGGUAAUGGCUCACCUAGACGACGAUACAUAGCCGACCUGAGAGGGUGAUCGGCCACACUGGGACUGAGACACGGCCCAGACUCCUACGGGGGGCAGCAGUAGGGAAUCUUCGGCAAUGGGGGCAACCCUGACCGAGCAACGCCGCGUGAGUGAAGAAGGUUUUCGGAUCGUAAAGCUCUGUUGUAAGUCAAGAACGGGUGUGAGAGUGGAAAGUUCACACUGUGACGGUAGCUUACCAGAAAGGGACGGCUAACUACGUG
rnacentral:rRNA from 1 species